rnacentral:rRNA from 1 species
UACGUAGGGGGCAAGCGUUGUCCGGAUUUAUUGGGCGUAAAGAGCUCGUAGGCGGCUUUGCAAGUCGGGUGUGAAAUCCCCAGGCUUAACCUGGGAACUGCAUUCGAGACUGCAUUGCUAGAGUAUGGGAGAGGGAAGUGGAAUUUCCGGUGUAGCGGUGAAAUGCGUAGAUAUCGGAAGGAACAUCAGUGGCGAAAGCGACUUCCUGGACCAAUACUGACGCUCAUGUGCGAAAGCGUGGGGAGCAAACAGG